UGCAACUGUAUGUGUCAGUAUUUGCAUCUGCGUAUCUGCAUGUGUGUUUGCAUCUGUGUGCCUGUACAUCUACAUGUGUGGCAGUGUGUCUGUAUCUGCAGGUAUGGCAAUGUGUGUUUCUCACAGAUACAGACACACACUGCCACACACACUGAUACACAUAUAGAUGUACAGGCACACAAAUGCAAACACAUGCAGAUACGCAGAUGCAAAUACUGACACAUACAGUUGCA